rnacentral:lncRNA from 1 species
AGUGCUUUCAAUACACAUUUAUUUCAAAACCACAGCACAGUAACUAUAAUGUCAACAUAACCAUAUUUCCACACUGAGCAGGAAAUCACCAUUCUCGUGUGCAUCUCCCAAGAAGUGGGGGCUGGCUCAGAGGCUCCGUACUGUGAGUAAUGACUAGAACCCCCAUUCUGAACUAGGAGUUCUAAACCAUUAAACAUUUAAUUACCACUCUGGCAAAGCAAUGCACAUUACCAUUUCUAAAAUGUAGCAGCACAGAGAUUUUAAAUGCAUCUUUAUUUUUCAGAGUCUUCAGUAUUCACAAUGUGUAAAAUGAAGCAGAGUUUUAAAUAAAAUGCUAUGCCAAAACACAGUUCCUUAAAAAGACCCGAUGGAGAGGAAGGAAAAUCGCAUAUGAAUAAUAUUUAUCAGUGCUUACAGUUGACAUUAACUAUAGUUUGAAAAGAAUAAAAAUACUCAAGACUUCAACAUUCCCUUACAAAAGUAUACUUGGCAAUAAAAUAAAAAUCUAUAAAACCCCAAAUAUUACAAAAGUAAAAUGCAAAAAAAAUCUUUUUAUUAAAAUGUAACAUAUUUACAUGGUAAGAAUUAUUUUAAACUGCACAGAACACUCAGAAGUUGCGAUGAGUGUCAGAGGGGAAUUUAUCACACACACUCAAUGUUUGGACAGUUGUAUAGGCCCACCAGGUCAAAGAGCCAGGUCAGCAGAUACACACAUCCCCUGGCAUGACAGUUCAGUGAGGGCAGAUUUUAAGCCUCCUCCCUGCAACCUAUUUUUGCUGGAGAAGGCAAUGGCACCCCACUCCAAAACUCUUUGUUUUGGGUGUUUAGUCUUUGUUCUCUGUUGAAACUUAAAUUCCUUUUAGAAAGGAAAUGCACAAGGUCUUAUGAGAACUGUAUCUUGGUGUGCUUUUAUUUGUUAAGUCUUAUUUUCGGAGGAAGGUAAAGGUGCCAACAAUCCUCUCAACCUUCUAAAGGAAUAGUAACCCACUCGCCAGACAGGGAUGAUGAGAAG